rnacentral:rRNA from 1 species
UACGAAGGGGGCUAGCGUUGCUCGGAAUCACUGGGCGUAAAGCGCACGUAGGCGGAUUCUUAAGUCAGGGGUGAAAUCCCGGAGCUCAACUCCCGGAACUGCCUCUGAUACUGAGGAUCUUGAGUUCGAGAGAGGUGAGUGGAACUGCGAGUGUAGAGGUGAAAUUCGUAGAUAUUCGCAAGAACGACCAGUGGCGAAGGCGGCUCGACUGGCUCGGAUAACUACCG